GCAGUACCGUAGUAUGUAUUUAUUGAAAAAAAAUCCACAGGUAAGCGGACUCGUGUGCUUCAAACCUGUGUUGUUCAAGGGUCAACUGUACU
ensembl:miRNA